AGUGAACGCUGGCGGCAGGCCUAACACAUGCAAGUCGAGCGGAAGAAGGGAGCGAGCUCGUGGAUUCAGCGGGGGACGGGCGGGUAAGGCCUAGGAAUCUGGGUGGUAGCGGGUGAGAAGGGGAGGAAACGGGGGCUAAUACGGUAAACGUGCAGAGGGAGAAAGGGGGGGAGCAUGGGAUCUUACGACAUUAGAUGAGCCUAGGUCGGAUUAGCUAGUUGGUGGGGUAAAGGCCUACCAAGGCGACGAUCCGUAACUGGUCUGAGAGGAUGAUCAGUCACACUGGAACUGAGACACGGUCCAGACUCCUACGGGAGGCAGCAGUGGGGAAUAUUGGACAAUGGGCGCAAGCCUGAUCCAGCCAUGCCGCGUGUGUGAAGAAGGUCUUCGGAUUGUAAAGCCCUUUUGUUUGGAAAGAAAAGCAGUAAGUUAAUACCUUGCUGUUUUGACGUUACCCACAGAAUAAGCACCGGCUAACUUCGUG
rnacentral:rRNA from 1 species